AAUGAACGUUGGCGGCGUGGAUUAGGCAUGCAAGUCGAGCGAGAACCCGCAAGGGGGACAGCGGCAAACGGGGUAGUAAUGUGUCGGAACGUGCCCUCUGGACGGGGAUAGCGGCGGGAAACUGCCGGUAAUACCCGAUGAACUCGAGAGAGCAAAGGUGUGAUUCCGCCGGAGGAGCGGCCGACAUGGUAUUAGCUAGUUGGCGGGGUAACGGCCCACCAAGGCUGUGAUGCCUAGGGGAUGUGAGAGCAUGAUCCCCACCAUUGGGACUGAGACACUGCCCAGACACCUACGGGUGGCUGCAGUCGAGAAUCUUCGGCAAUGGGCGCAAGCCUGACCGAGCGACGCCGCGUGGAGGACGAAGGCCUUCGGGUUGUAAACUCCUGUCGAGGGGGAAGAAGGGGUAACACCUUGACUGAUCCUCGGAGGAAGCACGGGCUAAGUUCGUGCCAGCAGCCGCGGUAAU
rnacentral:rRNA from 1 species